UUCUGGGGAAAAAAUGUGAAACA
rnacentral:piRNA from 1 species